rnacentral:ncRNA from 2 species
GACUGAACGCCUCUAAGUC